rfam:Pongo abelii chromosome 4.
CCUGGUCUUGGGUCGGGGCUGCUCCUGCUUACUGCCCCCUGCCCAGGCUGGUGUGCACCACCGCUGGCUGCUUUCAACGCCUCUUCUCUCUUCUCGGCAGGACAGGCACAAGGCACAGGCAGGUCGCCAGGUGUCAUGCUUGGCUCCCCGCCCGGUGAGAUUCUUUCAUUUAACAAUCUUCC